rnacentral:misc_RNA from 1 species
UUUUUAAUUUUUUUUUGCGCCGCGUGCAGAACAAAACGCACGUGCGCGACAUAUGUUUAGCACGUUUUAUUAUUUUGCACGUUUGCGGUAAGUUUUAGCUCGCUGCUCAUUAUUCACGCGUCUAGCGGCGGCAAGCGUGUUCUGAAAGGGGUCGAAACCAUGGAAAAUAGGCACCGGUGCGGUUGAACCGUGGUAAACUCGUCUCCGUAGUUGAGCGGGAGCGGCCAAAGGAAUGUGCAAUCGUGUGUGUAGUGGAGCUGGGAGGGGCAAGCAUAAGGGACGAAGACGGGGGUAACAUGUC